GGCCGGUUAGCUCAGUUGGUUAGAGCGUUGUGCUAAUAACGCCAAGGUCGUGGGUUCGAUCCCCAUACUGGCCA
rfam:Salmo salar isolate Sally breed double haploid chromosome ssa27, whole genome shotgun sequence.